rnacentral:tRNA from 1 species
GAGGCGGUAGCUCAGUGGUAGAGCACUGGCCUUUUAAGCCAGGGGUCGAGGGUUCGACCCCCUCCCGCCUCACC